rnacentral:rRNA from 1 species
CAGUCGCCGCGGGAAUACGUAGGGCGCAAGCGUUGUCCGGAAUUAUUGGGCGUAAAGAGCUCGUAGGCGGUCUGUCGCGUCUGGUGUGAAAUCCCGAGGCUCAACCUCGGGCUUGCAUCGGGUACGGGCAGACUAGAGUGCGGUAGGGGAGACUGGAAUUCCUGUUGUAGCGGUGGAAUGCGCAGAUAUCAGGAGGAACACCGAUGGCGAAGGCAGGUCUCUGGGCCGCAACUGACGCUGAGGAGCGAAAGCAUGGGGAGCGAACAGGAUUAGAGACCCCUGUAGUCCCUGUCUCUUAUAC